GACGAACGCUGGCGGCGCGCCUAACACAUGCAAGUCGAACGAGAGAAGAAGAGCUUGCUCUUCUGAUCGAGUGGCGAACGGGUGAGUAACGCGUGAGGAACCUGCCUCAAAGAGGGGGACAACAGUUGGAAACGACUGCUAAUACCGCAUAAGCCCACGGGUCGGCAUCGACCAGAGGGAAAAGGAGCAACCCGCUUUGAGAUGGCCUCGCGUCCGAUUAGCUAGUUGGUGAGGUAAUGGCCCACCAAGGCGACGAUCGGUAGCCGGACUGAGAGGUUGAACGGCCACAUUGGGACUGAGACACGGCCCAGACUCCUACGGGAGGCAGCAGUGGGGAAUAUUGCACAAUGGGGGAAACCCUGAUGCAGCGACGCCGCGUGGAGGAAGAAGGUCUUCGGAUUGUAAACUCCUGUUGUUGAGGAAGAUAAUGACG
rnacentral:rRNA from 1 species